rnacentral:sRNA from 1 species
AGGGCAGUGCCGGCCCGCCGGGAGAUGGAGUCCACGGGCUUGCGCGAGGCUUGCUGGGAGCUGUAGGCCAGGCCUACCGGGGUGGAAUGUCACUCCGCGGGUGUUGGCCUCAGUUAUUUAUAGUGACACUCCAGUCGCCAGCAGGAGGCUCCUGCGUCUGCAGCCGCGUGUCAGCCAAAAGGAGGGGACGCUCGGGGUCAGUGACCACGCCCAGUCCGCGCUCCCGACCAGGGGUCCCCUUUCCUGGCCCUGGAGAAACACAUGGCGUAAUGGGAAAACUGGACAGUUACACAAGGCAGAAGGAGACUGUGGAGAGGGAGUGUGUGUCAUGGCGCCCCAGGCCAGGGAGGGGAGGUAGGGUAAUGGGCCUGGAACAUCAGAAGACAUGGCACACUGGCAGAGUAGAGCCAGCCUGGGUGCUGGAGUCAGACUGCAGACUUGGUUCCCUGCUCGUCCCAGUUCUGCUGCCUGCGGACAAGUUAUUUCAGCUCUCUUAGCUCCACAUGAUUUUUUUCAUCUGUCA